GGGAGAUUAGUCUAGUGGUAUGAUUCUCGCUUAGGGUGCGAGAGGUCCCGGGUUCGAUUCCCGGAUCUCCCC
rfam:Fonticula alba strain ATCC 38817 unplaced genomic scaffold supercont2.6, whole genome shotgun sequence.